rnacentral:lncRNA from 1 species
CGCAGCAUAUGGAAGUUCCCCAGCUAGGGGUCAAAUCAGAGCUGCAGCUGCUAGUCUACAGCAACAAAGGAUCCCAAUCAUGUCUGCAACCUAUACCACGGCUCACAGCAACACCAGAUCCUUAACUCACUGAGCAAGCCCAGGGAUCAAACCCACAUCCUCAUGGAUACUAGUUGGGUUCAUUAUCGCUGUGCCAAAACAGGAACUCCAGUGGGUUUUAAGUUCUCCAAUACCUUGGCUUUCUGCCCAGUCUUAUGUUUUCCAGCUGUGGGAUCUUUGCUGCAAUUACAUCUCAAAUCUUGUUUGCUACUAAGAGCCUUCACUGACCUUUUGGGGCUCCAAGUAUCAAGCAACAUUAGUUUUUGCUACCCUUUGUGACUUUACUUGCUCUUGAUCCCACUUAUUAAGCAUAAGCCACACACACCAUAGGCUUCUCUUAGUCUGUUGAGUCUUGCCUACUCUGUCACUAAUGGCACCUUAGUCUUGACAGAAACUAGGUCCUGAUAUUCCAAGGCUAUGCAGGGUUAUUCUUUGUUUAGGUGCUGAACUGGGUGGUGCAAAUCAGGCACUGUGUAUUUUGAGACCAAGCAAAAUUUUAAAAGAAGGAUUAAAGUAUAAAAAGUAUAAAAUUUAUUUUGGAAUAAGGGCUCAAUAAUUACUUGCUGACUGAAUUAUUUUCUAUAUUUUAAUGUUAAUCUAAGAGUUCUGUUAUAUAUUUCAGACUGUACAAAUCAAAUAUUGCAAAUGAAGGCAGAGGCACAGCAUAAAUGAUGGACAGAGAAAAAUCUGGCAUCCAACCAAAGUUAUAACUUUUAAUGAAUUGCCUUUUUAACAAGCUACCCUGCCAAUUACUGUGACAGAAUCAUAUUAACAUAAAGCAAUCUCUGUUUCUGAUUUGUUUAUUGUUUUAAGGCCAGACAUCUUGUGUCUUUUUUGCUUUGGCUUAACUCUGUGACUUCUAAAAUGAUUUAUACAUUACUAUAAUCAGUAAAAUCUUGAAACAAUGGAGGUUAUGCUCAGAGUAUUUCUAUAAUAAUGAUUUUCAUCUUCAAUGUAAAAAAAAUUUGCAGGUUCAAAGAUAAGGAAAUACAAAAAAAGUUUAUUUCUAUGGAGACUUAUGCAGUCAUUUUAUUUGAAAGUGGCAGUUUCAAAAACAAUUUUGCUGUGUUUUGAGUACAAAAGUGCUUUAAGUUAGAUUCUUUCCUUUUAAUCAUAUUCUGUCUGAUCUAGAUAUGUCAGCUAAACACAAAAAUCCCCAUUGGAUGUUAUUGUUGCCAUAGCAACCAGACUGCAGCUUCCAAUAUCUGUGUGAUGAAGUGCUGACACAUUUUCAGCACAAGGUGCUAAGUGGAGGUUUGUUUCACUAAUUAGGUGGCAAAAAUGAUCAAGUCCUUCAUGAUUAAUGAUGUCACAAAUUACGCAGUGGACAAACCUGAGAAACUUUCUUAGCCAGUGCUUUAUAUCUUUAAGAGAAAGGUAAAAAUGAAAGUCAUUUUGCAAUCUUUUGGUUAACUAGUAAGAAAGGCAUAAGUUUCUGAGACUGUUUUACUCCAUAAUACUAGAUAUGCUCUGUGCCUUGCUUAGUUUUUAAAAUCAUUAGCUUUCUUAACAUUUUAUAUGAUUUAGGAUCAAAAGGAUGAGAGUUUGAGUUAUAUUUGCUUGAAUGGCAGAGUACAGAAAUUGACAGUAAAAGUUUCUUAAUUCUAUUGGCAUCUGAAAUUUACUGGUCUUUCAGAGGACUGUGCUUUCUCUUAUCUAAAUGAGGUUUCAUUUCUUAAGUAUAUUUUUGAGGAAUAGGAUAUCUUGAGUAAUUGAGUAUAUUGAUUAUUAGGAUAAUUACUAUACCCUUAGGAUGAAUUAAUCCAUAAGAUAUAUAGACAUGGUGAUAGUUUUUAUGAAACCAUUCCAAAUGUAAUAUAGACGAGGGCUUCCUAAUUCAGAGUAAUGAGGAAAACCACAUAAUUCCUAAAGUUGGACACCCUUAGUCAGGGACCUAUAAGUGAUCAGGACUGCUGGGAUAUUGGGUUAUCAUUAGAAAAUGGGUCCUCCAUUCUCAAGAACAUUUGGGAGAGUUGUCCUUUCUAUGCUACUUCCUGGUCCUCCAGAAUGUAAACGUUUUUCUUUGGUUACUCAGAACCCUCCACUCUUUCUGCUUCUUUCUCCUGGCCUUUCUUAAAACUCUGCUUUUAUAAAAGUGCAGAGACCAUCAUCUAGAAUGAAAAUAAAGGAAUCAUUAAGGAUAAGUGCUUGUCUAGUAUUCAAGGGGAGACACACUCACUUUUUAGUCAAGGAUGUAUACUGAUGCCAGCAUCUUUGUUGAGUCUUUGUUUUUACUUUAGCAUAGAGUGGGAAAAAGGGAAGACUGUUCUCAGGACGUACCUGAGAUAUAACACUGAUGGACAUUUAUGAAGCACUCAACAUAGCACCUAGUACAUAAUAUAUAAAAAUAAAUGGUGUCUAUUAUUAAAAGUAGUGAUCAUGAUGAAAUUAUAUAGGACAAGCUAUACAUGCUGAAUGAUAUGGGUUUGGAUAUACAUAGUGAAAUAAUGUAGGGUAGACCUUGUGUAGGGAGAAAAUAUAGGGUUGGUUAUACAUGGUUUAGAAAUUCAGAAAAGGAAAAUAUUACUUCAGAAUGGAUUGACUAAGUAAAUUGUUAUAAAAAGAAAGGCAUUGUGGUGAGAAUAGAUGAGCUGAGAAGGAUAUUCUUGAGGUUAUCAUGCAUGAUAUAGGAAAUUAGAAGCAGGAAAGAGCAAGGUUUCUAUGAAGGACAAUAUCAAGUGAAGCAACAAUAUGUUUGAUCUGGGAGGUUGCAUAUGAGGUUGUUUUAGGUCAUUUCCUUUCUUCUGGAAAUAGGAGGGUGAGACCUAAGGGUGGUUUAGCUACAGCAUCUUUCAUCCAGGACUGAGUAAGUUGUACUGGCUGUCUGCAUGGGUGGGAUAUUCUUUUAUUACUUCCUAGGUGUCUUAGUUGAAGCUGUGAGAUUGCAUAAAAAGGAUGCAAGAGAGCCAUUUUAAGGCCAAAGUAUAUUCUCCAGGAUAGGCCAUGAUCACACUAAUGACCCUAAACCUAGUGGACUCCUCAGGCAUUACAGGGUCUGUGAGUUAUUUUCAUUCAGUUUCCUGCAUUCCUGCUGCAAACUACAUAUUACCCACUCUCAGUUUAUAGAUGCAUAACAUUUAUAAAAUUAACCUCUAACAAUUCUUCACUCUAGUCAUGAUUUAAUAUUGUCCUAUAUAUCCUCAUGGUUUAAAAAUCAUAAUAGAGUUUGAAAGAUAUUUUACAAAAAACACUAUCCAUGAUCUAGAGAGGAAAUUUUAAAGAAAACUUUAGGGAAUUACUGUUAUAGUCAUUCCUUUAUCAUUCAAACAUUUAUUGCACAAAAGUGUUUUGAGGCACUACUCUGUGUCAGGUACUUUGCCCAACAUUGGGAACUUAAGCAUUAAUAAGGGAAAGGAAGGGACUUGCUAUUGAUAGGCUUAAGAGUCAGCCUUGUCAGACAAAGGACUCAUCACUCUGUCUUAGAAUCAUUCAGCUUUAUCCAUGCUUACUAAGGCUGACAUUUGCAUUGGGUUUAUCUGUUGGAAAGAGUAAUAAAUUCAUUGAAAAAUUUGUGUUAAGUAGUCAUUCCUUUCAGACACAGUGUUAAAAAACAUUAAGAGCCAUUGUUUGAGUUCCCACUAGAUGGUUUAUUUAAGAGUUAGCACUUAUAUAUUUUAAAUGAAAGCAUCUGCAAAAGAAAUCCAAGUGGGUAGAAAUUAACUCUCAUGUUCCUGUUGGCCAUAUGUACAACAGGCACAUGAAAAAAAUGCUCAACAUCACUAAUUAUUAGAGAAAAGCUCAGUUCAAGUAGUUUUUGCAUUGAGUCCUUAGGGUUUUCUAUAUAUAGUAUCAUGUCAUCUGCAUACAGUGACAGUUUUACCUCUUCUCUUCCUAUUUGGAUGCCUUUUAUUUCUUUUGUUUGUCUGAUUGCUGUGGCUAGGACUUCCAGUACUAUGUUGAAUAACAGUGGUGAGAGAUUCCUUGUCUUGUUCGAGAUUUUCGUGGGAAGCUUUCAGCUUUUCUCCAUUGAGUAUUAUAUUUUCUGUGGGUCUGUCAUAAAUGGCUUUGAUUAUGUUAAGGUAUGGUCCCUAUAUACCCACUUGGGUAAGAGUUUUGGUCAUGAAUAGAUAUUGUAUUUUGUCAACUGCUUUCUCUGCAUCUAUUGAGGUGAUCAUGUGGUUUUUGACUUUUCUUUUGUUAAUGUGGUGUAUGACGUUGAUUGAUCUGCGUAUGCUGAACCAUCCUUGUGCAUCUGGGAUGAAUCCCACUUGGUCAUGGUGUAUGAUCUUUUUUAUAUGUUGUUGGAUGCAGAUGGCUAAAAUUUUGUUGGGAAUUUUUGUGUCUAUAUUCAUCAAAGAUAUUGGCCUAUAGUUUUCUUUUUUGGUAGUAUCAUUGUCUGAUUUUGGAAUUAUGGUGAUGGUGGCAUCAUAGAAUGUCUUUGAGAGUGUUCCUUCUUCUUCAACCUUUUGAAAAAGUUUUAGGAGGAUGGGCAUAAGUUCCUCUUUGUACGUUUAGUAGAACUCACCUGUGAAGCCAUCUGGUCCUGGACUUUUAUUUGUAGGGAGUGUUUUUAUGACAUAUUCAAUUUCAUUUCUAGUGAUUGGUCUAUUUAGUUGAUCUAUUUCUCCUUGAUUCCGUUUUGGCAGGCUGUAAGACUCUAGAAAGUUGUCCAUUUCUUCUAGGUUGUCAAAUUUGUUGGCAUAUAAUUGUUCAUAGUAUUCUCUCAAUCAAAACUACAAUGAGGUACCACCUUACACCAAUCAGAAUGGCCAUCAUUAACAUGUAACAAAAAGCAAAUGCUGGAGGGGGUGUGGAGAAAAGGGUACCCUCCUGCACUGCUGGUGAGAAUGUUAACUGGUACAACUAGUAUAGAAAACAGUAUGGAGGUACCUCAGAGAACUAAAUAAACAACUACCAUAUGACCUAGCAAUCCCACUCCUGGGCAUAUAUCCAGACAAAACUUUCAAUGAAAAAGAUACAUCCACUCAUAUAUUCACUGCAGCACUAUUCACAAUAGCCAAGACAUGGAAAAAACCUAAAUGUCCAUCAACAGAUGAAUGGAUUAAGAAGAGGUGGUAUAUAUACACAUGAAUACUAUCCAGCCAUAUAAAAGAACAAAAUAAUGCUUUUUGCAGCAACAUAGAUGGAACUAGAGACUCUCAUACUAAGUGAAGUAAGUCAGAAUGAGAAGGACAAAUACCAUAAGAUAUCACUUAUAUAUGGAAUCUAAUAUAUGGCACAAACGAGACUGUCUACAGUAAAGAAACAAACUCAUGGACUUUCAGAACAGACUUGUGGUUGCCAAGAGAGAAGGGGAAGGAGUGGGAUGGACUGGGAAUUUGGGAUUAAUAGAUGCAAAGUGUUGCAUUUGGGGUGGAUAAGCAAUGAUAUCCUGAUUUAUAGCCCAUGGAACUAUAUCUAGUCAUCUGUGAUAGAACAGGAUGGAGAUGAUGGAGGAUCAUGUGAGAAAAAUAUAUAUACAAAUAUAUAAUUAUAGCUGGCCUAUAGUGUUAUAUACAUAGGUGACUGGCUCACUUUGCUGUAUAGUAGAAAAUUGACAAAACACUGUAAACCAACUACAAUUGAAAAAAUAAAAAUCAUUAAAAAAAG